rnacentral:rRNA from 1 species
GAUGAACGCUGGCGGCGUGCUUAACACAUGCAAGUCGAACGGAAAGGCCGAAGCUUGCUUCGGUACUCGAGUGGCGAACGGGUGAGUAACACGUGGGUGAUCUGCCCUGUACUUCGGGAUAAGCUUGGGAAACUGGGUCUAAUACCGGAUAUGACGAUCUCUUGGAUGGGGUUGUGGAAAGCUUUUGCGGUAUGGGAUGAGCUCGCGGCCUAUCAGCUUGUUGGUGGGGUAAUGGCCUACCAAGGCGUCGACGGGUAGCCGGCCUGAGAGGGUGUACGGCCACAUUGGGACUGAGAUACGGCCCAGACUCCUACGGGAGGCAGCAGUGGGGAAUAUUGCACAAUGGGCGCAAGCCUGAUGCAGCGACGCCGCGUGGGGGAUGACGGCCCUCGGGUUGUAAACUCCUUUCGCAAUCGACGAAGCCUUUUGGUGACGGUAGGUUGAGAAGAAGCACCGGCUAACUACGUG